CAAGAGUUAUAAAUGAGAGUGUUCACUCAAGCGAUCUACCGAGAAAGGUUUAGUGGGUUAGCCCUUGUUGAGGUCGCAGUAUGCCCAGAUGAGAAUCGAAGGACGAUACGACCCUUGCAUGUGAUGAAUAGCCUUUAACGACAUCGCCAAAACAUCAUCGUUAUAUCAUCACACAACAUGUACAUGGCUAGCGGUUUUGAGAUUCGCUAAUGAGGG
rnacentral:lncRNA from 1 species